rnacentral:rRNA from 1 species
GACGAACGCUGGCGGCGUGCUUAACACAUGCAAGUCGAGCGGAAAGGCCCUUCGGGGUACUCGAGCGGCGAACGGGUGAGUAACACGUGAGUAACCUGCCCCAGACUUUGGGAUAACCCUCGGAAACGGGGGCUAAUACCGGAUACGACACAGCUUCGCAUGGGGUCUGUGUGGAAAGUUUUUCGGUUUGGGAUGGUCUCGCGGCCUAUCAGCUUGUUGGUGGGGUGAUGGCCUACCAAGGCGACGACGGGUAGCCGGCCUGAGAGGGCGACCGGCCACACUGGGACUGAGACACGGCCCAGACUCCUACGGGAGGCAGCAGUGGGGAAUAUUGCACAAUGGGCGGAAGCCUGAUGCAGCGACGCCGCGUGAGGGAUGACGGCCUUCGGGUUGUAAACCUCUUUCAGCAGGGACGAAGCGUAAGUGACGGUACCUGCAGAAGAAGCGCCGGCCAACUACGUG